CCACCUGUCUGCACCUCCCUUCAGGAAAUUGUAGAGAGCAAUGAGGUCACCUCUGAGCCUCCUCUUCUCCAGGCUAAACAACCCCAGCUCCCUCAGCUGUUCCUCACAGGGUUUGUGUUCCCAGCCCCUCUCCAGCCUCGUUGCCUCCUCUGGAUGCGCUCAAGCGUCAAAAUGUCCCUGUGUGCUCGGCACUGGGGAGGUCCCACCUCGAGUGCUGCGUCCAGUUCUGGGUCCCUCCCUACAAGAAACUGAGGUGCGGAGCAAGUUCAGAGAAGGGCAGCGAAGCUGGUGAAGGGUGUGGGGUUCUAUGAGGAGUAGCUGAGGGCUGGAAGAGAGGCUCAGGGGAGACAUUAUGGCUCUCUACAACUGACAGGAGGGCACAGCCAGGUGGGGGUCGGGCUCUUCCCCCAGGCAACAGCAACAGGACAAGAGGACAUAGGCUCAAGGUGUGCCAGGCUGGACAUCAGGAAGAAUUUCUUCACUGAAAGCGUGGUCAGGUGUUGGAACAGACUGCCUAGGGAGGCGGUGGAAUCACCAUCCUUGGAGGUGUUCAAGAAAUGACUGGAUGUGGCAGUUACGGCCAUGGUCUGGUUGACAGGGUGGUGGUCAGUUAGUUUGGAUGACCUUUGGAUGACCUUGAUGACCUUGCGGGUCUUUUCCAACCUUAAGAACUCUACUGCGUCCCUCUUUCCUGCAACCUGAAACAGAAAUCUUGGUGCUGAACUCAGCUGAGGCGCUUCCAAACCUGGGGAAAGUAAAAGGUUCAUUUCACAUCCAUGGAGAUGAAACAAUGUUUGUUUGCUUUCUGACUGGGCUUAGGAUCUCCUGAGUCCCUCCACAGGGCAGGUUUAACACGUAUGACUUUAGGCAUCAAUUACACAGUGUAAUUGUUUGUUUUUACGCUUCCAUUGCCAUGAACACCAACCUUAAUUUCUUUUUGACCCACUUUAACACCCAGAGCCCUAUUUGCAGAGCUAUUAAAGCACUGGCAAUUUAGAGAUAUACAUUUGUACAGAUGGUUAUUCCUCCUUAAGUGCUUUUUGCCUUAACUGAAUUACCUACCGUUUAUUUUUUGUAAUUUCCUCAAUUUGCCAGGAUCACUUUAAUUUCUCUGAAGUGUUUGCAGCUCAUCCUGCUCUGGCAAAAUUUGUGCUGGCCUUGGAGACAUUACUGAAAAUAUUUAGCUGCAUGAAGAACUGGGCUUCAAACCUUCUUCCACCAGCACAAGGAAACCAGCUACAGCUACUCUGAGCGCUGGGAAUAUCUCUGUGUCUGCUUGGAGCUUCCCGUUCCGCCCGCUGUGCGUGGCCGGACCUCGUGAUUUCCUCUGCAGGCACAUCUGGCAGCAAAUACCCCAAAUACCCCUAGGGAUCGUCUGUGUGCCCCUCUCACACCGCCCACAGGAGACUCCCCUUUCUUCCCCUGUCCACACCGUGCUUGGAUGUCUCCCGCCCCCUUUCAGAGCUCGCUAUAAAGACAAGCAAAACAGGCAGUUGCCCACAGCCUUCUCCCGUGGGUCCCUGUGUAAACUUUGCAGCUCUGUUUUCCCUGGGCUCACAGCCCUGUCAUCACUCCCCUCUUCCUGACCUUCUCACAUGCCCUUCGAAUGCAGCCAUACCUUCCAUCUCUUUCCUUACUGCAGAGGCUCUAAUGGCCUGAACCAGCCCUCCCCCCACGGUUUAUCUCUCCUCUUCCCAUGCUGCAGCCUGCUCAUGGAAUGAUGGACAAGCUAAAGGUUGA